AGUUUAGGCCGAGCGCAUUCCCCCUGCCGGACUGCUCACCUCUUCAUAGUGAGCUUCUGUAGUUCGCAGUGCCUCUGCGCCUCCUGAUUCAGCCACAGAUAGCAGUUGCACAACACUUUGUUGCGACAGAUGUUUUCCUUAUCGCGCCGCUUGGCGAGCGGCAAGUCCAUCGAGUUUGGCGGAGAGGCGCGGCAGCUGAUACUAUCUGGUAUCGAGCGCAUCGCCACUGCCAUCGGAGUAACGCUCGGCCCCAAGGGCCGGAACGUGAUAAUCCGGCAACCGGACGGGGAGCCAAAGAUCACCAAGGACGGCGUCACAGUAGCCCGUUCGAUCGAGUUCCACGACCAGUUCGAGGACGUCGGGGCGAAGCUGAUCCGACAGGUGGCCGGCAAAACCAACGACGUGGCGGGUGAUGGCACAACGACGGCGACCAUUCUCGCCUGGAGCAUCUUCGCCGAGGGCUACAAGAGUGUCGCAACCGGGGCAAACCCGAUGGACCUCAAGCGCGGCAUCGAUGCGGCCGUUGAAAUCAUCCUCGAUGACCUGGCAGAGCAGACCCGUCCAGUCAAGGACUUCGCCAUGCUUGAGAACGUGGCCACCAUUAGCGCGAACGGCGAGCGACCCCUCGGCACUCUCAUUGCGCAGGCGGUGCAGGCGGUCGGUAUGAAGGGCUUUAUCUCUGUACUGGAUGGAAACACGGCCACGACGGAGUGGUCGAGAUACGAUGGCUGGAGCACCGAGCACGGCUUCCUUUCCAGCGCCCUCAUGACCGACAGCGCCAACCUGCGCAGCAGGCUGGACAACCCGCUAGUCUUUGUAACUGCGCAGCCGCUGGAGGCGGUCCAGGAUGUGGUGCGGCUGCUGGAGGCGGCGCGGGCGCAGCAGCGACCGUUGGUGCUGAUUGGCCCCUCUUUUGCCAAGCCGGUGCUGCAGACGAUCAUCCUGAAUCAUGAGUGCGGCGUCGUUCAGUGUGGUGUGGUGUGUGUCCCAGAGUUGAAGGAGGAAGAGCUGCACGACGUUGCCUUCUCCUGCCAGUGCAGCGUGGAAAAGGUCAGCUCCGUCGGCUACGUGGAGGACGUGAGAUGCCUGCUCGGGUCCGCAAAGCACAUGGAGCAGACCAUGGACAACACUGUCGUGUGCGGCACUGGCGACACGUCAGCGCGAGUCCGGCUGCUGCAGAGCCGGCUGGAGCGUCUCAUGACCGAGGAGAGCCGCGAGGCCAUGCGGGAGCGCAUCUCGAAGCUAAAUCACACCCACGCUGUCAUCCGUGUCGGUGGUCGCUCCGCGAUCGAGGUGAGCGAGUCGAAGGAUCGAGUGGUGGACGCGCUGAAUGCGGCCCGGAACGCGCUCAGCGAGGGUAUCGUGGCUGGCGGCGGCGCGGCUCUCCUACACGCCUCGAAGAAGCUCGACGAGCUCUUGCUUAAUGACGAGGAGAUGGAGCAGGACCGCCGCACUGGCAUUCAGAUUGUGCGCAACGCCAUUCGCCUUCCUCUGAAGAAGAUCAGUGAAAACGCUGGUGAGGAGGGCGCCGUGGCAGUAGAAAACGUGGCUGAGUAUCAAGAGACGUCCAUGGGAUAUGAUGCACAACAUAGCACGUACGUGGACAUGUUUGAAGCCGGCAUUGUCGACCCUGUCCACGUGGUGCGGUCGUGCGUCGUCGACGCCGCCUCGGUUGCUGGACUGAUGAUUACGACGGAGGCGAGCGUGUGCGACUACCGCCCGACGCCCGACAAGCGCCGCAAGUGAUGCACGCACUUCGCUGCCGAGGCAGCUGCCGGCUCUGCUGGAUCAGUUCGUUGGCUGCGGUUGGGGUUUCUUUUUUUCAGGAUGAUGUGACAUCUGUGCGUGCAAGAGUUCUCGUUGAUGUGAUGACGCGCGAAUCAAAAGUGGUGGGUGAAUUCAGGCGAAGACGCGCUGUGCUCCUUUUCCAUCGCCCUUGCCUUUCUCUUUCUCACAAAUCUCUCGUUCUAUUUUUUUUUUCUCUCGUCGUGGACUGGCGCAAGCAAAUCGUGCAGUGACGCUCCACCUGUUCUUUGAAGUGGUGCUGGGGUAAGGGACUCCGAUUUCCGCCUUUCGCGUUUUUUUUCUGGAGGGGAGUGUGCGUGUAUGUGUGUGUGUGUGGGGGGGGCUAUACUCAGCGUCUUGGUGUGUGCGUUGAGCUGGUGGCGUUGGUAGGGCUACACGGACGAAUGGUUUUGUGCAGGAAGUAGUCGAGAGUACACCCUUACCCCCACUUGAGCCUUCAAUGCUCUCCUCUCACUCCACCUCAGUCCUUUAGCGUCGCCACAAAGCCACUAUGACACGCCGGCGACUCGUUUUUUUUUUCAAGCGUCGCUUCUCUUGCCGACGGAGGAACGACGGCACUUUGCCUGUCCAGUGUGAGCGGGUGUGGGGGAGGAGAGGAAAGCGGGCGCAGACGUCAGCCGCGCGCGCAGAUCUCUUGCGAGCCAUGGACGUCUUUGGCCUAUCGCUCUGCCCUCAUCCCAUUCUUUUUCUCUCCCCCGCUACGCUCUCGCUCAUGAGCGCACUUCGCUGAUUUCUGUACUGCUGUCUCAUCUUCGGUCCUUCCCCUUCUCAACAUCGCAAACACAUAACGCAG
rnacentral:misc_RNA from 1 species